rnacentral:rRNA from 1 species
GAGUAACACGUGAGCAACCUGCCUUUCAGAGGGGGAUAACGGCUGGAAACGGUCGCUAAUACCGCAUGAUGUGUUCGGAUGGCAUCAUCUGAACAUCAAAGAUUUAUCGCUGAAAGAUGGGCUCGCGUCUGAUUAGAUAGUUGGUGGGGUAACGGCCUACCAAGUCUACGAUCAGUAGCCGGACUGAGAGGUUGAACGGCCACAUUGGGACUGAGAUACGGCCCAGACUCCUACGGGAGGCAGCAGUGGGGAAUAUUGCACAAUGGGGGAAACCCUGAUGCAGCAACGCCGCGUGAAGGAUGACGGUUUUCGGAUUGUAAACUUCUUUUCUUAGUGACGAAGACAGUGACGGUAGCUAAGGAAUAAGCAUCGGCUAACUACGUGCCAGCAGCCGCGGUAAUACGUAGGAUGCAAGCGUUAUCCGGAUUUACUGGGUGUAAAGGGAGCGCAGGCGGGACUGCAAGUUGGAUGUGAAAUACCGUGGCUUAACCACGGAACUGCAUCCAAAACUGUAGUUCUUGAGUGAAGUAGAGGCAAGCGGAAUUCCGAGUGUAGCGGUGAAAUGCGUAGAUAUUCGGAGGAACACCAGUGGCGAAGGCGGCUUGCUGGGCUUUAACUGACGCUGAGGCUCGAAAGUGUGGGGAGCAAACAGGAUUAGAUACCCUGGUAGUCCACACUGUAAACGAUGAUAGCUAGGUGUGGGGGGUCUGACCCCUUCCGUGCCGGAGUUAACGCAAUAAGCUAUCCACCUGGGGAGUACGACCGCAAGGUUGAAACUCAAAG